CUCUCGGUGGUCUAGUGGUUUAUGAUUCACUGUACAGUUUGUCGACUGUUCACCGGUAAGGCCGGGGGUUCGAAUCCCUCCCAUGUGA